rnacentral:rRNA from 1 species
AGCGAACGCUGGCGGCAGGCCUAACACAUGCAAGUCGAACGAUCCUUCGGGAUAGUGGCGGACGGGUGAGUAACACGUGGGAAUAUGCCUUUUGGUUUGGGAUAACUGAGGGAAACUUCAGCUAAUACCGGAUAAGCCCUAUGGGGAAGGAUUAUCGCCGAAGAGUAGCCCGCCGUUGGAUUAGCUAGUUGGUGGGGUAAGUGGCCCGACCAAGGCUACGAUCCAUAGCUGGUCUGAGAGGAUGAUCAGCCACACUGGGACUGAGACACGGCCCAGACUCCUACGGGAGGCAGCAGUGGGGAAUCUUGCGCAAUGGGCGAAAGCCUGACGCAGCCAUGCCGCGUGAAUGAUG